rnacentral:rRNA from 1 species
GAUGAACGCUGGCGGCGUGCCUAAUACAUGCAAGUCGAGCGAACAGAUAAGGAGCUUGCUCCUUUGACGUUAGCGGCGGACGGGUGAGUAACACGUGGGUAACCUACCUAUAAGACUGGGAUAACUUCGGGAAACCGGAGCUAAUACCGGAUAAUAUUUCGAACCGCAUGGUUCGAUAGUGAAAGAUGGUUUUGCUAUCACUUAUAGAUGGACCCGCGCCGUAUUAGCUAGUUGGUAAGGUAACGGCUUACCAAGGCGACGAUACGUAGCCGACCUGAGAGGGUGAUCGGCCACACUGGAACUGAGACACGGUCCAGACUCCUACGGGAGGCAGCAGUAGGGAAUCUUCCGCAAUGGGCGAAAGCCUGACGGAGCAACGCCGCGUGAGUGAUGAAGGUCUUCGGAUCGUAAAACUCUGUUAUUAGGGAAGAACAUACGUGUAAGUAACUGUGCACGUCUUGACGGUACCUAAUCAGAAAGCCACGGCUAACUACGUGCCAGCAGCCGCGGUAAUACGUAGGUGGCAAGCGUUAUCCGGAAUUAUUGGGCGUAAAGCGCGCGUAGGCGGUUUUUUAAGUCUGAUGUGAAAGCCCACGGCUCAACCGUGGAGGGUCAUUGGAAACUGGAAAACUUGAGUGCAGAAGAGGAAAGUGGAAUUCCAUGUGUAGCGGUGAAAUGCGCAGAGAUAUGGAGGAACACCAGUGGCGAAGGCGACUUUCUGGUCUGUAACUGACGCUGAUGUGCGAAAGCGUGGGGAUCAAACAGGAUUAGAUACCCUGGUAGUCCACGCCGUAAACGAUGAGUGCUAAGUGUUAGGGGGUUUCCGCCCCUUAGUGCUGCAGCUAACGCAUUAAGCACUCCGCCUGGGGAGUACGACCGCAAGGUUGAAACUCAAAGGAAUUGACGGGGACCCGCACAAGCGGUGGAGCAUGCGGUUUAAUUCGAAGCAACGCGAAGAACCUUACCAAAUCUUGACAUCCUUUGACAACUCUAGAGAUAGAGCUUUCCCCUUCGGGGGACAAAGUGACAGGUGGUGCAUGGUUGUCGUCAGCUCGUGUCGUGAGAUGUUGGGUUAAGUCCCGCAACGAGCGCAACCCUUAAGCUUAGUCGCCAUCAUUAAGUUGGGCACUCUAAGUUGACUGCCGGUGACAAACCGGAGGAAGGUGGGGAUGACGUCAAAUCAUCAUGCCCCUUAUGAUUUGGGCUACACACGUGCUACAAUGGACAAUACAAAGGGUAGCGAAACCGCGAGGUCAAGCAAAUCCCAUAAAGUUGUUCUCAGUUCGGAUUGUAGUCUGCAACUCGACUACAUGAAGCUGGAAUCGCUAGUAAUCGUAGAUCAGCAUGCUACGGUGAAUACGUUCCCGGGUCU